rnacentral:lncRNA from 1 species
UGGAAACAGUGAUAAAAAUACUACAUGUAUGUAUCCUUCAGAUCUUCAGUCUUCAGUCCUUAUCCAUUUGACAUUCCUUAACAGUAUUUUCUAGGUUUCUUUUUGAAGUACCAUUAUAUAAAGUGGGCAGUAUAGAUUGUGAAGAUUGGAUUUAGCUAUCUCCUGAUUGUAACAAUGAAGAUACUUAGCUCUUUCUUUAUUGUGAAGAUAAAAUUGUAAUCUCCUGGUUGUAACAAUGAAGGUACUUAGCUCUUCCUUUAUGGUGAAGCAAGAAUUGUAAGCUACAAUCUAUUUUUAGAUUUUAACUACAAAAAGGUGUUAAGUAACUACAAAAGGCAAAUUUACCAAAAGAUGUGUUAAGUAACCCAAAAAGAUAAAAUCUAACCAAAGAAGGUGAGAACUAAAGAAUGUGCAGUCCUGGAGAAAAGCAUCUGCUGUGAUUGGUACAGGUGAAAGUUUAGGGGAGAUCACACAAGAGAAAAAGAUCUUUAAAAAGAGGAACAAAAGGCAGGAGAGCAUUUGAUUCAUUUGAUCAUUCAGAUUCAAAUCAUUCAUCCAGACUCAGACAUUUGGACAGUCAUUCAGAGAUUCCACACUGACUUGGAGGAGCACCUGGAAGACCGACCCUUGAGGAGUGAGCAAAAGGCAGACACCCAGACUUCUUUUAGACUGUCACCUUUGAACCAGGGAAGCUCAUUAUCCAGAGUGAAUGUUCUCUUGGUGAAUCAGAAGUAGGACUUCUCUGAUCAGAGUUAUUGACUUGGUCUGCCCCUGGCAUCCAUUUUGAACAUUAAGAUCACCCUGCUGUAAGUCUGUUUUGGUCUCCUCCCUCUGCUUUCUUUGCUUCAGAUAAUUAAUAGAGAACUCUAUAAGUAUUGUGAGGGAUAAGAAGAAAAUGAAUUGUUUUUCUCUUCCAUUGUAGUCGAGGCUUCCCAAUCAAUUUUUUUUAUUUUUAGUUUUUGAAUUGAAAAUUUUUAAUUAAUUAAUUUAGAAUAUUUUUCCAUGGUUCCAUGAUUCAUGUUCCUUCCCUCCCUUCCUUUAUCACCUCCCAGCCAAUGAGCAAUUCCACUGGGUUUUACAUGUGUCAUUGAUUCCUGAUCAGUUAUCAUAAAAAUUCAGCUGAAACAAUAGAAGAAGAAGACUUUAUUAAAUAUCCUUGAGGCUUGGGAUGUGAGCUUAUGUUAGUUUUUCAU